rnacentral:rRNA from 1 species
AGUGAACGCUGGCGGUAGGCCUAACACAUGCAAGUCGAACGGCAGCACAGUAAGAGCUUGCUCUUACGGGUGGCGAGUGACGGACGGGUGAGGAAUGCAUCGGAUUCUACUUUUUCGUGGGGGAUAACGUAGGAAAACUUACGCUAAUGACGCAUACGACCUACGGGUGAAAGCAGGGGUUCUUCGGACCUUUCGCGAUUGUAUGAGCCGGUGUCGGAUUAGAUAGUUGGCGGGGUAAAGGCCUACCAAGGCGACGAUACGUAGCGGGUCUGACAGGAUGAUCGGCCACACUGGAACUGAGACACGGUCCAGACUCCUACGGGAGGCAGCAGUGGGGAAUAUUGGACAAUGGGCGCAAGCCUGAUCCAGCCAUACCGCGUGGGUGAAGAAGGCCUUCGGGUUGUAAAGCCCUUUUGUUGGGAAAGAAAAGCUGCAGGUUUAUCCCCGGCUGUUCUGACGGUACCCAAAGAAUAAGCACCGGCUAACUUCGUG